AUACUUACCUGGCAGGGAGAAACCAUGAUCAAGAAGGUGGUUCACCUUGGGCGAGGCCUGACCAUUGCACUGGCUAGUGGACUGUGCAGUAUGGACAGCAGCAGCAGCCUGUUUAGAGC
rnacentral:snRNA from 15 species